rnacentral:rRNA from 1 species
ACUCCUACGGGAGGCAUCAGUCGGGAAUAUUGGACAAUGGGCGCAAGCCUGAUCCAGCAAUACCGCGUGUGUGAAGAAGGCCUGCGGGUUGUAAAGCACUUUCAGUUGGGAAGAUAAUGACGUUACCAACAGAAGAAGCACCGGCUAACUCCGUGCCAGCAGCCGCGGUAAUAC